rnacentral:rRNA from 1 species
CCCUUAGAUGUUCUGGGCCGCACGCGCGCUACACUGAUGCGUUCAACAAGUUUCCUUGGCCGAGAGGCCUGGGCAAUCUUCUUAAUAUGUAUCGUGAUAGGGAUAGAUUAUUGCAAUUAUUAAUCUUGAACGAGGAAUUCCUAGUAAACGCAGAUCAUCAAUCUGCAUUGAUUACGUCCCUGCCCUUUGUACACACCGCCCGUCGCACCUACCGAUUGGAUGUUCCGGUAAAGCCUCGGGAUGAGGACUGGUGCCUUUAUUGGCAUGAGUUGUUCAGAACUUGUCUAAACCUUAUCAUCUAGAGGAAGGUGAAGUCGUAACA